rnacentral:rRNA from 1 species
AGCGAACGCUGGCGGCAGGCUUAACACAUGCAAGUCGAGCGGGCAUCCUUGUGGUGUCAGCGGCCGACGGGUGAGUAACGCGUGGGAACGUGCCCUUCGGUUCGGAAUAACUCAGGGCAACUUGAGAUAAUACCGGAUACGUGCGAGGGCAGAAAGGUUUAUCUGCCGAAGGAUCGGCCUGCGUCUGGUUAGUUAGUUGGUUAGGUUACGGCUCACCAAGGCGACGAUCAGUAGCUGGUCUGAGAGGAUGAUCAGCCACACUGGGACUGAGACACGGCCCAGACUCCUACGGGAGGCAGCAGUGGGGAAUAUUGGACAAUGGGGGCAACCCUGAUGCAGCCAUGCCGCGUGAGUGAUGACGGUCUGAGGGUUGUAAAGCUCUUUUCUCCGGGACGAUAAUGACGGUACCGGAGGAAUAAGCCCCGGCUAACUUCGUG